rnacentral:rRNA from 1 species
GUCGAGCGAGAAAGUCCCCUUCGGGGGGCGAGUAAAGCGGCGCACGGGUGAGUAACGCGUGGGUAACCUGCCCUAGAGUGGGGGAUAACCAGCCGAAAGGCUGACUAAUCCCGCAUACGACCGGCAGACACAAGUCUGCUGGGGAAAGAUGGCCUCUGCUUGCAAGCUAUCGCUCUUGGAUGGGCCUGCGUUGGAUUAGCUAGUUGGUGAGGUAAUGGCUCACCAAGGCUGCGAUCCAUAGCUGGUUUGAGAGGACGACCAGCCACACUGGAACUGAGACACGGUCCAGACUCCUACGGGAGGCAGCAGUGAGGAAUAUUGCGCAAUGGGGGAAACCCUGACGCAGCGACGCCGUGUGAGCGAUGAAGGCCUUCGGGUCGUAAAGCUCUGUCAGAGGGAAAGAAAGGGCCGGAGGAAUAAUACCCUUCGGCAUUGACGGUACCCUCAGAGGAAGCACCGGCUAACUCCGUGCCAGCAGCCGCGGUAAUACGGAGGGUGCAAGUGUUAUUCGGAAUCACUGGGCGUAAAGAGCACGUAGGCGGAUUGGUAAGUCAGGUGUGAAAUCCCGGGGCUCAACUCCGGAACUGCAUUUGAUACUGCCAGUCUUGAGUGAGGUAGAGGGGAGUGGAAUUCCCGGUGUAGAGGUGAAAUUCGUAGAUAUCGGGAGGAACACCAGAGGCGAAGGCGACUCCCUGGGCCUCUACUGACGCUGAGGUGCGAAAGCGUGGGGAGCAAACAGGAUUAGAUACCCUGGUAGUCCACGCCGUAAACGAUGAGUACUAGGUGCGGGGGGGUAUAAACUCCCUCCGUGUCGCAGCUAACGCAUUAAGUACUCCGCCUGGGAAGUACGGUCGCAAGGCUG